AAUCAGUGCCACCAAACAGGUGCCUCUCGCCAGAGAGGAGAAUAGGGAAGGCGGCAGGAUGCUAAAGUGUCCUGGAACGCCGCGGUCGCGCCACUGUAAUCGGGGAGGAGCCUUUGCCCAUGCCGGCUGGUCGCCGGGAGGCGCAAAGGUUUCGCAGAACCGUAGCCAGGAGACCUGCCUGUUUUGGCUGUCAUUU
rnacentral:ncRNA from 2 species